UCUUAAAUGGCUUAGCCUGGUAUAGCGCACGGCUGAUAACCGUGAGGUCGGGGGUUCGAAGCCCCCCUUUCCCA
rnacentral:tRNA from 3 species